AUUGAACGCUGGCGGCAGGCCUAACACAUGCAAGUCGAACGGUAGCACAGAGAGCUUGCUCUCGGGUGACGAGUGGCGGACGGGUGAGUAAUGUCUGGGAAACUGCCUGAUGGAGGGGGAUAACUACUGGAAACGGUAGCUAAUACCGCAUAACGUCGCAAGACCAAAGUGGGGGACCUUCGGGCCUCAUGCCAUCAGAUGUGCCCAGAUGAGGAUUAGCUAGUAGGUGGGGUAACGGCUCACCUAGGCGACGAUCCCUAGCUGGUCUGAGAGGAUGACCAGCCACACUGGAAUGGAGACACGGUCCAGACUCCUACGGGAGGCAGCAGUGGGGAAUAUUGCACAAUGGGCGCAAGCCUGAUGCAGCCAUGCCGCGUGUAUGAAGAAGGCCUUCGGGUUGUAAAGUACUUUCAGCGAGGAGGAAGGCGGUGAGGUUAAUAACCUCAUCGAUUGACGUUACUCGCAGAAGAAGCACCGGCUAACUCCGUGCCAGCCGCCGCCGUAACAC
rnacentral:rRNA from 1 species